UACAGAGGGGGCAAGCGUUGUUCGGAAUUACUGGGCGUAAAGGGCGCGUAGGCGGCCCGCUAAGUCGAACGUGAAAUCCCCAGGCUCAACCUGGGAACUGCGUCCGAUACUGGCAGGCUUGAAUCCGGGAGAGGGAUGUGGAAUUCCAGGUGUAGCGGUGAAAUGCGUAGAUAUCUGGAGGAACACCGGUGGCGAAGGCGGCAUCCUGGACCGGUAUUGACGCUGAGGCGCGAAAGCGUGGGGAGCAAACAGG
rnacentral:rRNA from 1 species